CAGAGUUCAUGCAAGAGCAGGACUUCUGCCCAGGUGCUGAUAGGAACACUUUUUUUUUGGAACUUCACAUUUGAAAUAUAGUUCAGUUGCAUACGUGAACAGAAGUUGCAUAAUACCUAGAGUAAUGUAUAUGAGAGUUAAGUAUUUGGAGACAAGUUUUCAAAACGUUUUCAAAAAUGGAAAAAUAAAUAUGUGUUUAUAUUCUUUAAUACUAGGGACCUUUUAAGGUGCAGCAGCAUUUGAUCUGAAUUGUCAGCUCAUGGAUCCUUAGUAAUUGCAGAUGAGUUUCCUCUCCUGUCCUUUUUGUUCACUGGUACCUUAAACUCCCCUACUUCAGUCAGUCACAAUCAUGAUCUAAUUGUGAUCUCUCUUGCUGUUUCCCUACAGUUGUAAGAAAUUCUCUUGUGUGCUGAAGAGAGAUGCCCCAGUCUGAGGAUGCUCAGCCAUGCUUCUAUCCAGGAGGUACUACUGAAAGAAAGAAGUGGCUCUUUGAACAGCAAGAUGGAGAUUCUUAUGCAUUUUAUGGAAAUAGCACAGCUAUGACUUGCCAUCAGUUCAGCCAGCAGUCAAGCAAAGAAUGGAGCUCAGUUUUGCAAAGUCUGUCCAGGAAUAUAUCUACUAGAUUGCUUUACCCCUGAAUGAGAAGUUUGCCUUCAUUUUCUUACUAAGAUUUGGUCUGGAACCAACUAGCAACUGCAGCAGUUUCUGGUAGGUAAUAUUUUUGACUAGAUUAGAGUCAAUGACUUACAAAUGAGAACCUUUUUAUUCCAUAAUAGAACAAAAGGCAUUAUUUCCUGGGAAACAAAAUCUGUGCAUUUAUCUAUUUAGUGUGUUUACUUGGAUUUUAUAUUUAGAUAAAAGAGGCAUUUCAAUUUUAUAGUGUAUCUACAGCAUGGUACGUUGAAUUCUCAAAAUUUAAUCAUGUACUAGUUAUGCUUUGUGUCUGAUUAAAGAUGAUAGAUUUUAAUGGUUUAGUAUUGAAGGUCAAAGAUUAAGUCACUAUUGGUAGUUUCUUGGCACCAUAAGACCUCUACCUAUUGAAGAAACACUUUGAAUUUUCACUGGAAUCUUAAUAACUUGUCCUAGUGGUUGGAAGAUUCACAGAAAAUUAGAGUCCUAAAUAUUACUGAGAAAAAGCUGUUUACUUGGGAGGAAGUUUUCAAAGAUACAAAUUGAGAGACUGGCAUCUCUCUUUCCCCUCCAUUUUCCAUUGUCUUCAUUGACAGAUAAUCUCAAAUUGGCUUUGUAUGAAGCCAAUGGGGUACAAAGGUAAGUUUUAACUUUUUAGGACAGUGUUUCAACUAUAGUGACUAUUACUUGACAUAUGCUAUGAAAGCAAUGAAGUCUGUACUGGACUUUUUUAUUUUACUGAAAACUGGGGAAGCACAGGCUCACUCUAUGGGGUUUGCAUGUUCAUAUGGAUUACGCAAAAACAAUAUCAGCAGGCUUCAUUUCAGUGUUUUAGUAAAUGCUAUAAAGCAGCUACUGGAAUACUCAAAUUAGAUCAGAUGUUAUAAUGCCAAACUCUCAUCCCAGCAGAGUACAACAUUAAAAAAAAUGGUUACUUUUGUUUUUAAUUUACCACUCUAUGGAUGAGAGAAGUCCCAUCUGCUUGCUUUAUUUUUAAAUGAAAACAUAAAUGUUGUCCUGUGGUGACAUUAGGCUAGAUAUUACGUAGAGAUACAGACUCCAAGCAGUUAAAAUUUACAUUUAACAAAUAUGUUUUCUUACAUGCAACCAUCUGCAUGAUAAAACCAAUGAAUAAGUUUGUGAAGCUAGCGUAAACAGGAUUCAAAGUGACCCACUUUUAUGCCACUGUGGGAAUAAAAAUUACAGAAUUUUAAGUAAGCUAGAACCA
ensembl:lncRNA